GGUCAUGAGUUUGAUCAAGCUUCUGGAGAUGUGGACAGGGAAGCCUGGCAUGCUGCAGCCCAUGGGGUCACAAAGAGGUGGAGACAACUGAGCAGCUGAACAACAGCCUCCUUGUCACAGAACACUCAGAGUACCCAGUAUUUUGGAAGAUGGCAGAGGCUCCAUGACUGAGCAGCUGAGUGAGAAAUGGAUGUGGCUGGAUUAUCAUAACUGCACCAACAGCCUGAAUUUACCUAUGCUUGUGUCCACAGUCACCAGGAAACCAGGUUGCUGCAUGUUUAACUCUUUAAUGACUUUGAUGUUCUGUCAUUAUCCUGGGAAAUAAGGCCGAGGAAGUUAGAGAACUAUUGCUGGGUUGCUAAUGGGAGAAAUCAAACCUCAGGGAAGUUGUGACUGGUAAAUACAGGUUCUAUGUGGUGACAGAACAAUUGGAGAUUGAAGUUCCAGCUAUUUAAUCUGGGGUUCAGUCUAUAGGAUGCCAAAUAAAUGCUCAUUAAUUAAUUGACAGAUAUUUCUUGAGUGACCCAUACAUGGUGAAGAAGAUAAGGUGGAUAUCUAGAGGAAAGACACAGCCUCUGUUCCAAAGUCACAGUCUGGCAAGGGAGAUCACAUAAAUAAAUGCAAAACUGGCUAAUAUAUAAAAAUGUACUCAGGGAACUAUGAAACAUUACAGAAGAGAGAGGAUAACCCAUUCUGAAGGACCAAAGGCUCCUCAGAGUAGCUGCAAGUUGACCUGGAUAGUAAGGCGUUAGAUAGCUGUGGAACAG
ensembl:lncRNA